rnacentral:rRNA from 1 species
AUCUACGGCCAUAGAAUCUAGAAAACUCCGCAUCCCGUCCGAUCUGCGCAGAUAACCUGGAUAUCGCCCAGUUAGUAGCAAGGUGGGGGACCACUUGCGAAUCCUGUUAGGUGCAAGUG